rnacentral:lncRNA from 1 species
UUAUGAAUUCUGUCAGAACACCGUUGGAUUCCUCGUGGCCACCAAAGCUCUGCUAUCUAGAACCUGUAGGGGCGCAAAACAAAAUUGAGUGGGUCAGUAAAACAAAGUUUUUCGAAAACAUUUCAUUUAAAACAUUUCUAACCCCUUGCUGUAAAACCUGUAUACUUUCCUAGAAAAUAACAUAAUAGCAUAUAUCUUCAAAUAUCUCAAAUCAUCAAUCUUUAUCAAAACCAGAAAGUAUGCCAUGUCAUAAUGUCAAAAACAGAAUAUGGAUGGAUCAAUAUAACAGGUGAAAUAAGGAAUCAACCGGAAACCCUGCAGUUGGUCCUGUACAGUUAAUUCUAUAGCUCAAUAUCUAAUCCAACCGGAGUCACCACGAUGAACUAUACGGCGCUACUCUGCACAUAAGUCAGAACUACCUGAAGUAGUCUGUACGACAAGAAUGAUGUAAUAAUACGCUCUAGUGCUUCUCUCAUCAAUCAUUUGUGCACAUAAUCUAAGGUCACCUACCAGUCGGAACCACCUCUAGUGGUUUGUACGACUAGCAUGUCGAAACCCUCUAUCGGUCUGUACGACAUACACCUACUUGGAUCCAAGGUGAACGUGCGGUACGGUGAAUAAUAUAAGCACUAACACUAGGGAUGCAGGUUAUGAGCUCUCAACACAAUUCACAUCAUCAAUGAUUCACAUGAAUAACAUAAAACUCACCUGAUACUCACCUGUGCGUCCACAGCACCAAUUCACAUAUAUAUAUGCAUCAAUUAUCAAUUCAUAUAUCUCAUGAUAUGCAUGCAUGACAUUUUAAAACAUACUUCAUUUAAAUUCAAUUUCUGGGAAAAAUCAAUAGUAUAUAGGUAAAUACAGAAAAUAACUGCCCACUCACCUGGAGUUCGCCCAACAACUCCCUAGCACAACACAUCAAGGCAUCAUGACGAUCGGCGCCUAAAACAAUAAUCAAAUCCAACCUUAGAAAUCAUAUCGAUAGAAUAUAUAACUUAUAUAAAACACGUCACUACGUAGUUCGAUCCGGAAGAUUUGCAACUCAGAUUUCAAAUCCAUAACUUCCAGAGGUCCACAAUAUACCUCUAGGACAACAUCCUAAAAUUUCAUUACCAUCCAACGGUCGGAUCUCUGUCAAUUUCCAAAACCAGUGACGGUUAACAUUCUAUUUUAUGAACUUACAACUCCAAUUCCGAAAGAUCCGUAAAUCGGAUUCCCGAUCUGUAAGUUCCUAUAAUCCUCAAAUAUUACGUAUUACAAUGUAUCAAAGUUUGGUGACGAUCCGACGGUUGGAUCGUCGAUUCACCUUUUGGCCUAACCACGAAUCAUAACGAACUUAGGUUCAAUUACUCAAUUUACGUCCAUCAAUUAUCA